CCUACGGGUGGCUGCAGUCGGGAAUUUUGGGCAAUGGGGGCAACCCUGACCCAGCAACGCCGCGUGAGCGAUGAAGGCCUUCGGGUCGUAAAGCUCUGUCGGGAGGGAAGAAGGCUCUCGGGGUGAAUAAUCCCGGGGGAUUGACGGUACCUCCAAAGGAAGCGCCGGCUAACUCCGUGCCAGCAGCCGCGGUAAUACGGAGGGCGCAAGCGUUGUUCGGAAUGUGUAGGCGGAUUGCGAGGGCAGGUGUGAAAGCCCGGGGCCUAACCCCGGAACUGCACUCGAAACUGCCUCGCUAGAGUCUCGGAGAGGGUGGUGGAAUUCCCGGUGUAGUGGUGAAAUACGUAGAUAUCGGGAGGAACACCAGCGGCGAAGGCGGCCACCUGGACGAUGACUGACGCUGAGACGCGAAAGCGUGGGGAGCAAACAGGAUUAGAUACCCCUGUAGUC
rnacentral:rRNA from 1 species